AGUGAACGUUGGCGGCGUGGAUUAGGCAUGCAAGUCGAGCGAGAACCGUAGCAAUACGGGGACAGCGGCGAAAGGGACAGUAAUGUGUAGGUACCUACCCCGAGGUCUGGGAUAGCUGCGGGAAACUGCAGGUAAUACCGGAUAAUGUCUUAGGACCAAAGGUGUGAUUCCACCUUGGGAGGGGCCUGCAUCCUAUUAGCUUGUUGGCGGGGUCACNGGCCCNCCNNAGGCAACGAUGGGUAGCGGGUGUGAGAGCACGACCCGCGUCAUUGGGACUGAGAUACUGCCCAGACACCUACGGGUGGCUGCAGUCGAGGAUCUUCGGCAAUGGGCGAAAGCCUGACCGAGCGACGCCGCGUGCGGGAUGAAGGCCUUCGGGUUGUAAACCGCUGUCGUAGAGGAGGAAGUGCAAGAGGUUCUCCCUUCUGUUGACCUA
rnacentral:rRNA from 1 species